rnacentral:rRNA from 1 species
UACGUAGGUGGCAAGCGAUACUCGGAAUCACUAGGCGUAAAGCGCAGGUAGGCGGUUCGGUAAGUCUUUUGUGAAAGCUCCUGGCUCAACUGGGAGAGGCCAAGGGAAACUGCCGGGCUAGAGUGUGGUAGGGGAUACUGGAAUUCCUGGUGUAGCGGUGAAAUGCGUAGAUAUCAGGAGGAAUACCUAUGGCGAAAGCAGGUAUCUGGGCCAUCACUGACGCUGAGCUGCGAAAGCUAGGGGAGAAGACAGG